UAGGGAAUCUUCCACAAUGGGCGAAAGCCUGAUGGAGCAACGCCGCGUGAGUGAUGAAGGCCUUCGGGUUGUAAAACUCUGUCAUUCGGGACGAACCGGAGUCUGAGGAAAUGCAGACUCUCUGACGGUACCGGAGGCGGAAGCCCCGGCUAACUACGUGCCAGCAGCCGCGGUAAUACGUAGGGGGCAAGCGUUGUCCGGAUUCACUGGGCGUAAAGCGCGCGCAGGCGGUGAUGUAAGUCUGAGGUGAAAACCCGAAGCUCAACUUCGGGACUGCCUUGGAUACUGCGUCACUUGAGGAUAGGAGAGGCAAGGGGAAUUCCACGUGUAGCGGUGAAAUGCGUAGAGAUGUGGAGGAACACCUGUGGCGAAGGCGCCUUGCUGGCCUAUUUCUGACGCUGAGGCGCGAAAGCGUGGGGAGCAAACAGG
rnacentral:rRNA from 1 species